rnacentral:rRNA from 1 species
AGAAUUCGUGCCAGCAGUUGCGGUUAAACAAAAGUUAAAUUAAAUUAUUUCAGUUUAUAAGUAAUAAAUAGUGAAUUAAAAUAAAUAUUAAAUUAUUAGGUAAAAUUUUAAUUUAAUUAAAUUUUAUAUAAAAAUUUAUGUUUUAAAAAAUUUUAUUUUAAACUAGGAUUAGAUACCCUAUUAUUAAAAAUUUAAGUUAUAAUACUAAAAUAGUAAAUAAUUAUUUAUUGAAACUUAAAUAAUAUGGCGGUAUUUUAGUUCAUUUAGAGGAAUCUGUUUAAUAAUUGAUAGUCCACGAUUAAAUUUACUUAAUUAAGAAUUUUAUAUAUCGUUGUUAAAAAAAUAUUUUUAAUAAAAAAUAAUAUUUAAAAAUUAAAAUAAAAAAUUAAUUCAGAUCAAGAUGUAGAUUAUAAUUAAGAAUAUAAUGGAUUACAAUAAAAUUAUUUAAAUGAAUAUAUUAUUGGAAAAUGAUAUUGAAGGGGAUUUAAAUGUAAUUUUAUUUAAUAAAAUAAAAGUAUU